rnacentral:tRNA from 1 species
GGGCGGUUAGCUCACUUGGUAGAGCGCCUCGUUGACGUCGAGGAGGUAACAAGUUCGAUCCUUGUACCGCCCA